ensembl:snRNA U2 U2 spliceosomal RNA
AUUGCUUCUCAGCCUUUUGGUUAAGAUCAAGUGUAGUAUCUGUUCUUAUCAGUUUAAUAUCUGAUACAUCCUCUGUCUGAGGACAAUACAUUAAAUGGAUUUUGGGAACUAGGAAAGGGAAUAGGAGCUUGCUCUGUCCACUCACUGUAUUGACCUGGCAUUGCAGUACUUCCAGGAAUGGUGCAGCUACC